rnacentral:misc_RNA from 1 species
GUGCACUAGAGUAUGCCAGGGAGGCGAAGGUAAAAUUUGGAUUUCAAAAGGCAGUUUAUGAUGGCUUCCGUAUGUUUUUUCUUACCAUGUUAGACAGACCCAGUGCCAAGAUUAUGAAAAAGAUGAUUGGGCAUAAGUUGUUAGGGGGUAAUAAACCUUCACCAGUAACUUUUGAUGCAUACUUACGAGUUAAAAAGGACUCCAGUUCUGAUGAUUUCUUGGAGAAUUAUGUUUUGACAAAGAGUGUUAUGAAGCAACUUGAGAACUUGGCGCGUGCUGUUUUUAUCAAGAGAUAUCCUGUUCUGUUACAGGGGCCGACUUCUAGUGGAAAAACUAGCCUUGUUCAGUAUCUUGCUGCAAGAACUGGUCAUGAAUUUGUGCGGAUAAACAACCAUGAACACACUGAUCUGCAGGAAUAUUUAGGUUCUUACUCAUCUGAUGCUCAUGGAAAGCUCAUUUUUCAUGAAGGUGUAUUGGUUAAAGCUGUUCGAAAUGGUUAUUGGAUUGUUCUGGAUGAGCUAAAUCUUGCCCCCUCUGAUGUGCUGGAAGCAUUAAAUCGUUUGUUAGAUGAUAAUAGGGAACUUUUCGUGCCUGAAUUGCGUGAGACUGUACGUGCACAUCCAAAUUUUAUGCUUUUUGCUACUCAAAAUCCACCUACUUUCUAUGGUGGGCGUAA